rnacentral:rRNA from 1 species
AUGCAUUCUUUGUCAUGUAACAGCGUUCCUAAGCUAUUACUGAAUGAUCACGGUUUUUUUCAACACGUCCUGGACUUUACAUUUGAUAUAUACAUCAAGUUUCUGGGACAGAAAACCAUCAUGGACAACAUAUAUUUUUGCUCCUUUUCACCCACUCUGUUCUUUCUAUCGGGGUUGAUCCCCAAAUCAGUUUUGCUCUCAGCAAGGGUGCUUCGCUGUAUCAAUGACGAGCCAUCCUUACCUAGCUAUGCGCUCGACAACUGCAGCCAAGAUCGCUUCCUCUCUUCUUUCCCCCCUCCCCCCCCCCCAAAUUUUUUGGCUCUGUGUGUGAUGGGAAAGGGGGCUGGGCGAUGA